UCUCAUGUAUCUUUCAUAUUUUUCUAUGGAAGCUUGGCAUUGUUUGUACUACUAUGCUUCUCUUGUCAGGUUUUGGUUCUGUCCUUCAUAAAUUCAAGAUAUCAGAGGAGCAGAGAAUAUUUCAUUGAUAACCCAGUGCCCUGGUAGCAUUUGCUCUCAGUUGCAGGAUGUAUUCUUCACCUGCAGGCCCUUUUCAUAUAAGAUUUGAGUUUAGGCUGGUACUUGGAGCUCAACCAAGCCAGGCUUACUUAGCUGAGUCGGCGAGGCGAUUAGUGAAUUUUAAAAUUGCCACAUUAGAUCUGAUUAUGGAAACAAACUUUAUCAUAUAUCUGGAGCUUUGGAUCUUUGUGCAUCUUGCAAACUGUCAGAGCAUGUUGAAUGCCUUCAAGGCUGGUGGGGAUUUCCAUUCAAGGAUGGCAAUGAAUACCCACAUAUUCCCAAGGCUGCAGAGGGAAAAAUGGUGCUGCUUGAAUGGUACUGUCAACCCGGGGGAGACAAACCUCCAGUUCCUCUAUCAAAGGUAAAUAUACAGAAAACUUCUCAUUGCACUGAUCUUAUGAAAAGGAAACAAAAAAAGAAGACAAUGAAACUAGGAAUAUAGAGUUAAUAUGAAAUAAUAAGAUAAUCAUGAACAGUGCCUCAUGAAUUAGAAAAAAGUGAUGAGGAAGUAACUCUGAAAUUGUAGUACUAGUUAUCGGUCUCUUAAGUCCAACUCCAAGUAAGAUAGUUGCAAUCGGGAGCCACGCUAUAUGAGACUAAUAGUUAUUGUCAUCUGAAUUCAAAUAGUCCAUCCAAACACACCUGCAAAGUUUGAAAAUAUUCGUGAACAUAUUUUAACUAGGUUAUGCUGCUUAACUUA